UUUUGAGGAUUCAUUCCUAUCAGUGAGAGCUCUUGUGAAACCGUCAUUUCUUUUGGUACAAGUUCCAAGGGACGAAGUCCAAGAUUGGUGUUCUUUAUUGAGGACUCUACGAAGGGACAACACCCAUCUUUGAGGCAUGCACAUCUGUACCAAUUUCACAAGACCAAUCCUGUUCAAUUAUUCUGACUAUUUCAAGAUUUAUCUCUUCUUGCAACCAGGAGCAGAUUCGUUUAGCACCUGAAAAAUUCGCCUCUGUUUGCAAGAGGUUCAAAGAUCAAGUUAUGCUUGAGGCUCCAAUUAGAGGGGUAGCUCCACUUCAUACUGCCAUUAGAAAACUCCAGACCUCUUCAGAACAUUUAACCAGUUUACAUCCGGAUUUUCUUCUUCUCUGCUUAUUAGCCAAGUGCUAUAAAACUGGCAGAUCCAUACUGGAUAAUGAUAUUCUCGAGGUUGAUCAACCAAGAGACCUGUUUCUUUAUUGUUAUUACGGGUGAGUUGCUUUUCUUCUUC